CAGUAGCCGCGGUAACACGUAGGGCGCAAGCGUUGUCCGGAAUUAUUGGGCGUAAAGAGCUCGUAGGCGGUCUGUCGCGUCUGGUGUGAAAUCCCGAGGCUCAACCUCGGGCUUGCAUCGGGUACGGGCAGACUAGAGUGCGGUAGGGGAGACUGGAAUUCCUGGUGUAGCGGUGGAAUGCGCAGAUAUCAGGAGGAACACCGAUGGCGAAGGCAGGUCUCUGGGCCGCAACUGACGCUGAGGAGCGAAAGCAUGGGGAGCGAACAGGAUUAGAUACCCCCGUAGUCCCUGUCUCUUAUAC
rnacentral:rRNA from 1 species